rfam:Ornithorhynchus anatinus chromosome 5, whole genome shotgun sequence.
UCCUUCUCAGGGUCACACCUGGAGAGUUUCCUGUACUCUACCAGUUAUGAUUACAGGAGGGAGAGUCAAGCAGAGGCCUAACCAUUCCAUUCCUAGCUUGGGCAGUGGCUAGCGAGUGGAAGGCAAUCUGCUACAAGU